GAGUGAGGGAAGCAAGGAAAUGAGCAUAGUUUUUGAAGCAGUUCUCUAGGCCUGCCCUCUUUGAUGUCUUUUGGCUUUGAUUUGGGGGUGUGGUUCUACGACAUAUUG